UUCCGGUUUUUUUCAGUUGGUCGUCAAGGUGACGGGUUGCCUGGAGGCCAGAGGUGACCCUGACCUUGGAGCCGCGCCUACCUAAGGGUUGCGAGGCAGACAGGUUUCCUAGGCGGCAUCCAGAGCCCUGUCUGGAAGGUCCUUCCACAACACCAACUCCCGACGUUGGCCUUGGAAAUUCCCAGGGAAAGUGAGGGCACAGCGCUGGAUUUAUUGAUUCAUUUACUCAUCUUGGCUUUUUCUCCUUCCUCAUUCACUCAUUUAUUGCAGUGGAACUCCCGCCUUCACCACUAACACAGAAAUUGCUCUGGCAAACGUCACCUAUUGCGGGGACUUCCCUGGUGGUCCAGUGAGUAAGACGACGUGCUUCCAUUGCAGGGGGUGGGGUUCGAUCCCUGGCCGGGGAACUAGAUCCCACAUGCAUGCCGCAACUAAGAGUCCUCCUGCAACAACUCAAAAGGAAAGAGCCCUCAUGCAGCAAGGAAGAUCCCGCGUGCAGCAACUAAGACCCGGCGCAGCCUAAAUAAAUUCUUUUCCAUUAUGGGUUAUUACAAGACACUGAAUAUAGUUCCUUCUACUAUACAAUCCAGCUUAAUGGACGUCAGCAGCAGGCGGGGCCAGGCCGAAAGAUGAGGCCACAUUGCAGCGGGACAGAGAUUGCGACCGUGCUGUUGGCCCCGGAGAGGCACGAGGACAGGGGACACGGGUUCGAUCCCUGGUCCAGGAAGAUCCCACAUGCCGCGGAGCAACUAAGCCCGUGUGCCACAACUACUGAGCCUGCGCUCUAGAGUCCGUGCUCCACAACAAGAGAAACCACUGCAAUGAGAAGCCCACGCACCGCAGUGAAGAGUAGCCCCCACUUGCUGCAACUAGAGAGAGCC